rnacentral:lncRNA from 1 species
CCAUUUCAAAUUGAAUGAAACCUCUGGCAUUCUUCCUGAUGCCUCGAGCUCUGAGGUAUGACCAUGUUUCCUGAUGCCUGGAGCUCUGAGCUAUGACCAUGUUUCCUGAUGCCUGGAGCUCUGAGCUAUGACCAUGUUUCCUGAUGCCUGGAGCUCUGAGGUAUGACAAGGUUUCCUGAUGCUGGAGCUCUGAGGUAUGACCAUGUUCCCUGAUGCCUGGAGCUCUGAGGUAUGACCAUGUUCCCUGAUGCCUGGAGCUCUGAGCGAUGACAAGGUUUCCAGAUGCUGGAGCUCUGAGCUAUGACCAUGUUUCCUGAUGCCUGGAGCUCUGAGGUAUGACCAUGUUUCCUGAUGCCUGGAGCUCUGAGGUAUGACCAUGUUUCCUGAUGCUGGAGCUCUGAGGUAUGACCAUGUUUCCUGAUGCCUGGAGCUCUGAGGUAUGACCAUCUUUCCUGAUGCCUGGAGCUCUGAGCUAUGACAAGGUUUCCAGAUGCUGGAGCUCUGAGGUAUGACCAUGUUUCCUGAUGUCUGGAGCUCUGAGGUAUGACCAUGUUCCCUGAUGCCUGGAGCUCUGAGGUAUGACCAUGUUUCCUGAUGCCUGGAGCUCUGAGGUAUGACCAUGUUUCCUGAUGCCUGGAGCUCUGAGGUAUGACCAUGUUUCUUGAUGCCUGGAGUUCUGAGCUAUGACCAUGUUUCCUGAUGCCUGGAGCUCUGAGGUAUGACCAUGAUUCUUGAUGCCUGGAGCUCUGAGGUAAGACCAUGAUUCUUGAUGCCUGGAGCUCUGAGCUAUGACCAUGUUUCCUGAUGCCUGGAGCUGUGAGGUAUGACAAGGUUUCCAGAUGCUGGAGCUCUGAGGUAUGACCAUGUUUCCUGAUGCCUUGAGCUCUGAGGUAUGACCAUGUUCCCUGAUGCCUGGAGCUCUGAGGUAUGACCAUGUUUCCUGAUGCCUGGAGCUCUGAGGUAUGACCAUGUUUCCUGAUGCCUGGAGCUCUGAGGUAUGACCAUGUUUCUUGAUGCCUGGAGCUCUGAGCUAUGACCAUGUUUCCUGAUGCCUGGAGCUCUGAGGUAUGACCAUGUUCCCUGAUGCCUGGAGCUCUGAGCUAUGACAAGGUUUCCAGAUGCUGGAGCUCUGAGCUAUGACCAUGUUUCCUGAUGCCUGGAGCUCUGAGGUAUGACAAGGUUGCCUGAUGCCUGGGGCUCUGAGGUAUGACCAUGUUCCCUGAUGCCUGGAGCUCUGAGGUAUGACCAUGUUCCCUGAUGCUGGAGCUCUGAGGUAUGACCAUGUUUCCUGAUGCCUGGAGCUCUGAGGUAUGACCAUGUUUCCUGAUGCUGGAGCUCUGAGGUAUGACCAUGUUCCCUGAUGCUGGAGCUCUGAGGUAUGACCAUGUUUCCUGAUGCCUGGAGCUCUGAGGUAUGACCAUGUUUCCUGAUGCUGGAGCUCUGAGGUAUGAGCAUGUUCCCUUAUGCCUGGAGCUCUGAGGUAUGACCAUGUUUCCAGAUGCUGGAGCUCUGAGGUAUGACCAUGUUUCCUGAUGCUGGAGCUCUGAGGUAUGGCCAUGUUUCCUGAUGCCUGGAGCUCUGAGGUAUGACCAUGUUUCCUGAUGCUGGAGCUCUGAGGUAUGACCAUGUUUCCUGAUACCAGGUACUUUGAGGUAUGACAAGGUUUCUUGAUGCCUGGAGUUCUGAGGUAUGAUAAGGUUUCCUGAUGCUGGAGCUUUGAGGUAUGACAAGGUUUCCUGAUGCCUGGAGCUCUGAGCUAUGACCAUGUUUCCUGAUGCCUGGAGCUCUGACGUAUGACAAGGUUUCCUGAUGCUGGAGCUCUCAGGUAUGACUAUAUUUCUAUUCCAACAUCUGCUGUCCCAGGAAGUGUAGGUGAUGACACAACAUAAAGUCCAAAAUAAGAGUAGGUUGUGAGAAACAUUUGUGUUUCAAAUACUGCGCAUGGGUCUCAAGAGGGAGAAGGAAGGCGGGCCUCUUUGCAGAGAUCUUCGUGAACAUCGUUUAUUGUAAAUUUAUGCCUCACCCUGAGGGCAGUGAAAGGCAUCAGGCGGGUUCAGCAGCGCAAAGUAGAAGUGCCCUGGGCACUUCAUCCGAAAGGGAUUUACACUGUGAGUUACAUGGGUACAACAUCAUCAGAAAGGGGCGGAAGCAAGAAGCUGCCGGAACUGUCGCCUCCGGGAGAACCUUUGAGGGGAGUCAGGGAUCCGAAAGCCGACGGGUCUCAGCAGCUCCCUCAGAGCCACAUCCCUUGUCCUAGAUGGGCACUGGCAAAAACAAGUCUCCUUCCGUGCCUCGUGCCCCCCAGGCAGCUGUGCUGAAGACAAUCCCCUCCCCACUGAGUUGACCAGGAGAAGGAUGUCUUGCGUUAACUUCCACCUUCAGGCAUCUUGGGAGCACAUCUAAUUGGAGAAACCCAAAUAAUAUCCAGAAUGCAAUUGUAGGAGAGCCUGGAAAGGAGCUUUCUUAACUUCUGAGGGAGGUGCAGAAAGGCACGCUAGAAGGAGCUGGAAAUGGAUGUUGAGUACCAACCCAUCCUAGCAACACACCGGUGCGAGGCAGGCCUGGGCUUGGAAGCUAAAGAACCAAAUGUGACAGUGGACUCUGCCCUCGUUAGUAGCUGCAUGACUGCAGUAAAGCUCUUGGUUCCCUCACGUGUAAAACAAGGAGGGUGGACCACAGCCUUUCUAGAGACCUUGUCAGUUCUUGAAACAAAAAACAACUUCUGUAAAAAGCAUGAAGAGAGACCAUCUCCUGGUACCAUCCUCCUGCCCCUUGCCUCCCAGAUGUAGCAUCCUUUGGUCUUGGUGGUCAUCAUCCUUUCUCAGAAGCUUAUAGUGGCAGCUGGAUCUCAACUGUGCCCUCACCCCACCGCACCUUGGAGAGUUAGAAUACAUCACAAUUGGCUGCAGUUACAAGUAGGAAGAGGGCAGGAAAACACGUGGGCAGAGCUGAAGUUCUCUGAUCCCACAUCUGAAUUUCCAAAAGAAUCCCUAGACAGUCUCUGCUGUUGGCCAAUAUUCCCGGAGCCGCUCUGUGAACAUAACUGAGCGGGACACCCCGGCCCAUGGCUGCGGGCGCGGCACUGGGCUUGUAUGCAGCCUGAGGAAAUCCUGCUCCUUAAGAAAUUCUCAGAGCAGCGCUUCUCAGACUUCAGUGUGCACACGGAUGCCGGGGACCUGGUUAAAAUGCAGAUACUGCGUCCGCGGGGCUGGGGUGGGAUCUGAGAUGCCGCGUGUCUGACCAGCUCAGGGCUGCUGCCACUGCUCUGUGGACCACCCUUUGAGUAGCAAGGUUUAGAUCUCCAUGUGCCCCACUCCCACCCCAGCCUCCCCGCAAGGAGACAAUUAAAUGCAAAUGUCUGCAGUAGAAUGCCAUGAACUGAAGAUUCCGACCCUGAAGAUAAAGGGUUGAGGGAUUUGGGUUUUUUCCCCCAGUAAAUAUUAAGUGACAAGCUUUACAUAAGCACUCAGAGGCACAUAUUCCUAGGGGUCUGGUUUGUGGGGUUUUGUCCCUCCUGUACCAUCUCUCUUUCCUUGUUGACUCUUUCCUCUGGGUUUGGGGCUCAGUUUCCUCAUCUAUAAAUUGGGGUAGAAAUAUCUACCUAGAGCACUAGUUAGAGGGAUAAGUGAGAUAGUGCAUGCCAAGAGCACUUGGUUUAUUACUAGAUGCUUUGAACUGUUGUCUCUGCCCCCUAAUUAUCGCCGUCAUCGCUCAGUCCUGCGUCACCUCGGCCCUUCGUCAGGUGGAGAGAAAGAUGUCACUCACCGUUGCUUCCCUUGUUUCCAAAGCAGGAAAACCUGCCGCUGCCUCCUGAGGGAUCGGGGACAGCAGACGGGGUGAGACAGAGAGGGUUAAAGCUUGCCAAGUUUUAUACUAAAGUGGUACCCUGCAAUGUAUAGAACUGCGUGGCAUAGUAAGCUAUGGUAACAAGCACAGAGAAAAACGUAAGUGACAAAAUAGAAGAAAUUGAGCAAAUAUUUAAAAUGGUAGACACUAAUUAAGAAGGAGAUGUUCAUGGCAGUUUUGUACAUAAUGACAAAAAAACUGGAAACAAUCUAAACGCGCAGCGUUCUCCAUACAGGUAUGUCAAGCAUGGCACACCUAUACACAGGAUAUUGUGUAGACUCUAAUGCUUUGUUUAGGUUUUUUUUUUUUUUUUUGGCCAGCGAAGAUUUGCCCUCAGCUAACAUCUGUUGCCAAUCUUCCUCCUUUUUCUUCCAUUUUUCCUUCGCAAAGCCCCAGUACACAGUUGUAUAUUCUGGUUGUAAGUCCUUCUAGUUCUUCCAUGUGAGCCACCUCCACAGCAUGGCCACUGACAGACAGGCGGUGUGGUUCCACAACCGAGAACUGAACCCCGGCUCCUGAAGCGGAGUGUGCCAAACUUUAAUGGCUAAGCCAUCAGGGCUGGCUCUGUUUAGAUUUUUAAUGGCAUGAAAAAUGCUUAUGAUGUGAUGUUUAGAGUACAAGGAAAAUCAGGCUACAAAUUGUUAAAUACCAAAUUAAAACAUAUGGAGGAAAAAAGGAAGGAAGGACACAUGCCACAGUGAAAAUGGUGGCCGCAUCUGAGGGACUGUUUGUUUUCCUUUUCUUCACUUCUCUGUACUUCCCAGGUCCUCAGCAAGGACCAUAUAUCUGCUCAGGCUGGAGCCAGGCUGCUGCUGUGCUGGAGGUCCACCCUUUGCCGCCUACCAACCGGGCUGGUCAUUGCACACAGCUCGCUGUGCCUCUAUUCCCCCAUAGGUGAAACGGGGCUGGUACUAACAUCUAACCCAUGGAGUUCUGUUAGGAUGAAGUGACGGAACAUUUACUGGGCACUUAGGCCUUGCACAAAAUCAGUGCUUUGCAAGUAUUAGCUGUUGUUAUUUUCAUUCUCAUAUCAUCAAAAGAAAAUCAAGCAAAAACUGAGAAAAAGAUCAAAGAUUAGAGGAAAGCAUUUAUAAAUGUUAGGAUGAGAUUUUUUUUAAAUAAACUUUUCAUUUUGAACUGAUUUCGGAUUUAGGGAAAGUUGCAGAGUUCAGAGGGACCCCAUAUAUCCCUCACCGAGUUUCCCCUGUGGCUAACGCAUUACCCUACCGUAGGACGUGCACAAAGCUAUGAGGCUGAUGCUGAUGCAGCGCUAUUAACUAAACCCUAGAUUUCAUUUGAAACUCACCUAUUCUUCCAUUUAUGUACUUUUUCUGUUCCAGGAGGGUGAUAUUUUUGAAUGUUGACUAAUGUGGCUGGGUUUUCUUUUUUACUUUUUAGUUGGGAAACAUACGUAGAAGUUUAUAAAACAAAAUGUACUGUUUAAAAGAAAUCAGAAACAGAGCACCUCCAGUACCUUAGAAUCUCGCCUUGUGUCCUUUUUCCAUCACAACACCCUUCCAACUUUGCCCCCAAGCGAUAAUUAUCACAAUGACUUUUACAGCAAUCAUAUUCUUGCUUUUCUUUAUAGUGUUA